rnacentral:lncRNA from 1 species
CUGGUUUUAAUUUGAUAAUAAUAUAUACAAGUCAUUUAUACAUACAUGUAUACAUGUAUACAGUUGUGGAACAUUUUUCUGAAUGAAAACCUACAACCCAAGCAGGGGCGUAGCCACACUUGGGCUGAGGUGGGCUGUAGCCCGGGUGAUUCCGGAGAGCGGCGGUGAAGCCAUGGUAGGCGGUGGUGUAAUUCUUCUCCAAUUGCUCGACCAAGCCCUUUCCAGGUAAUGAUUUUGAACAUGAAUUUAUCUUCAAUCUGUAAUUUUAGAACAUGAAUCAACCCUCUACCUUGUUUAAGUCGUAGAUUUUUUUCUCUCUCUUCACAUAUGACUGUUAGAGAGGAUAGAAGGAUUAGAGUAAUCGUUAUCAAAGAGAAUAUUCAAAGUUAAUCUCCAAGCAAACGUGAAACACAAAUUCUUCAAACAAGAGGUAAUAACUUCUACUUAUUAAGUUUUUGAAAAUUAGAGUAAUAAUGUAUUGUGCUUAUUGAGAUUCUUGUGUUUGGGUUGUAAAUUAGUGUGAACAAAGUAUUAUGCAGGACAUUGGAGUGAUAAGAUUGAAAAUUAUGGCUAGAACCAUAUCUAAGUCACACACACAAGAUGUUUGAAAUUUUGCCUCAAUGAGAAUUUAUGCUUAAAAAUCAAAAAUUUAGCAAAGCUUGAUGCUAGGAUAUCUUUAUAUAUGUGUUAUGAUGUUAAUUAAGUUAAUUGAGUGAAUCAAAUCAAGCCCAAAUCAAGUUUUAAAGAAUUUCUAAAAACUGAAUUUGAUGAAAAAAAAAGUGGCCAGCAUGGCAUUUUAAAGCCUAUGUAAUACCAUCUUAAAAAACCCAACUUGGUCAUGCUAUAUUUUUAUAAAAUACUAUGAUAUACCAUGUAGAACAUAUCAAAAUUUGGAAGCAAUCGGAUAUGUAGGUUGGGAGAUAUAAAAUCACAAAGCAGCCAACUUGGUAGCCCAGGACGGAAAAAUUUCCUAGCUCCGCCCUUGAACCCAAGGUUUGGCUUUGCUGCAUCUUAUCAAACAAGUUGAAGGAAAAAGGAGGUGCGGAAAGUGAUGAUGUUUUCAGUUUUGGGGUUGUGCUGCUUGCCUUCAACUCUUGACAGGAAGAAAGCCAAAGUCACUAGUUGAUGAGGUUUGGCUUGCUUGCUUGCUGCUUUAACUUUCUGAAAUUCCUAAUUAAUUACAAGCUGCAUAUUUGUUGAUGCAUGCAUGCAGGUAAGGGAUGCAAUUAAUAUAUAGUGAAAGGACGUGGAAAUUUAGGUGCCAUGGCGGAUCCAAACUUAAAACAGGAGUUUGUAUCAACCGAAUUUCGACAUAUAUUAUCAGUAACACUUGUUUGUACUGCUCCAUCUGAAAUUGACAGACCAAACAUGGGAGGGAGAAAUCCUACAUAAACUUGAGAAAACACAUAUUGCUGCUG